rnacentral:rRNA from 1 species
AUGAGAUACUUUGUUGACGUCUUUUCUCGGAUGGCAAAUCGAAGCGAGUUGACCAGUCAAAUCAAAAGAAUUAGAACAGCACUUGACCAGAUCUUGGAUAACAAAAAAUACUGCAGGGACGAGCAUAUAUCAACGAUGGCACUGAAAGCUUCCACCAUGGCCAUUGCAGCAUGGUACGUGACACCGGUGGCCCUUACAACUUCCACCGUGGCCAUUGAAGCGUGGCGGGAUGACCUGGAGAAUGUUGGAUUUGACAAGGACAUGGAGAUUCUUAAGCGGAUGUUGGUCCAUAAAGAUGAGAAUAGUCACCACCAAAUGUUCAUAUCCAUUGUUGGGGAGAGUGGUGCAGGGAAGAACACACUCGUAAAGCUUAUUUGUGAUCAGAUAUGUACAGAGAUGGAUGUUUUAAUCAGGUACAACAUGAUGCCCGGUUCCAGCACAAAAGAUCUCCUCAAAGAUGUGUACAAAAUGGCAUUGCGUCAAUCUGCAUGUCGGUGUCAUGAGAUGGAGGUGGAAGAAGGUACUGAUAGUACAAGUGAAAAGAUCCAUGGUUUGCUUAGUACAAAGAGGUACUUAUUGAUCCUCGGUGGGAUUUCCUCCAAAAGCACUCUUAGUUGCGUGAGGGCGAGCUUGCCCGACAGUGGCAAUGGAAGUCGUGUGAUGCUCAUCUUGGACAGUGAAAAUGAAGAAGUCGUUUGGCAUGCUAAUACCAUGAAUAGAAAUGGCUUCAAUGGAGUACACCUGAUGAGCCCAUUGGAUCAAGCAAGAAGUGCACAACUAUUCUUUCGGAAAGUGCUGAGAAAAGCACAGUAUGAGUCAUGGUUGUCAGCCAGCGAAAAGCAAAGAAACCAGAAUGAUGAGAGGUAUGGUCGACAUUAUGAGUCACCAGGAAUGAUUGGGAAUGAGCAGGAGGAGGAGUAUCGAGAUAAUGAUUUCCAGAGAAAUGUUCAUAGUGUGACGGGAGGACACCCCAUGGGCAUACUGCUUCUGGCUGGAAUGCUUCGGUUCAAGGAGAAAUCAAUUCAGUGGGAUGUAGUGUUAGAACAACUCAUGUCUGCAAGGUAUCCGCAGCAGUAUCCGCAUCAACAAAUGUCCAGCACAACAAGAAGGGCGAUAGAGAGCAUCUUCUGGACGAGCUUUGAGGAUCUCCCCAAUGAUCUGAAGUCAUGCUUCUUAUACUUUGCCGCCUACCCGCAGGACACAUGGCAAGAUGCUGAUGAGAUUGUUCACAUGUGGAUAGCAGAAGGCUUCAUCAACAAGAGGCCAUCACAACAUGGGAAGACUCUAGAGGAGGUCGGGCAUGGCUACCUGAAGGAAUUGGUCUUGAGAUGCCUUCUUCAGCUGGAGGAGAGGAAACUUGGCCAUGGCAUUGGGGUAGUCAAAGUUCAUAGAAGCCUUCUGGGGUUCCUGCAGUCUGAGAUUUCCAAGAUUGGCUUCAUGGAUAUUAUCCACAAUGUUAAAUAUAAUGUCGUUUUGCCGCCAUCAAUGCGUCGCAUCUCUGUCCAGAGUGAUUGUAUACCGAUGUAUACCACCUACCAAAAAUUCCCAAAAUUGCAUUCCUUCAUAUGUCACAUUGAUGAGAAGAAGCACAAACAAGUUGAAGCUCGGCAGAUGUGGACAAAGAAGAAGAGUGUUCACAAUGAUAUCAAGUUUCUAUGUUGGUCAAAGUUCCUUCAUGUAGUCUCCUUGAAGGGGCUGAUGCUUGAAGCUCUGCCGUGUGAGCUUGGUGACAUGAUCCAGCUGCGAUACCUAUGUGUCGACUGCCCCGACCUGCACAUUCUUCCAUCCAGCAUUGCCAGGCUACUCAACUUGCAGACGCUCGACAUCAGAAAUACCCAGGUAGAGGAGAUUCACCAGGAUUUUUGGAAGAUCAAGACUCUUCGUCAUGUGCUUGCAAAAACACUGGCACUUCCUGCAAUGCCAAUGCCACUAGGUGUGGAAGAGCAAGAAGAUGAUGAGGUUGGUAGUGAGCUACAGAUGCUCCACGGCGUAAAGCCCGCCUCCUCGGGGUUGGGAGAGUGGACCCCGUUGAACAACAAUAUGACAAGAAGCCUACGGUCAUUUGAGAUGCACGGUUUCCAGUAUGCAGGACACGGAGGACCUAUGUUUGAGGCUGCUCUCCAGAACAUGUAUCUCCUUGGCCACCUGAGUCUACAAGGUGAUGAGAUUCCUUCAUGCGUCUUCGCCAACACAGGCCUUCAGAGCCUCGAGACCAUGGAGCUACAUGGAAACGUGAGGUGGGAUGACAUCGUUCCAGUGGUGGAUCUUCUUCCCAAGGUCCGUCCAAACCUCGUGCAAAUCAAAAUGCGAGAUAUCAAUGAGGUACCUAAAAUCAUCAAGCAACAACUAGGAACAAUGCUGAUUGGAGGUGAUUAG